rnacentral:rRNA from 1 species
GGUUAAGCGACUAAGCGUACACGGUGGAUGCCCUGGCAGUCAGAGGCGAUGAAGGACGUGCUAAUCUGCGAUAAGCGUCGGUAAGGUGAUAUGAACCGUUAUAACCGGCGAUUUCCGAAUGGGGAAACCCAGUGUGUUUCGACACACUAUCAUUAACUGAAUCCAUAGGUUAAUGAGGCGAACCGGGGAACUGAAACAUCUAAGUACCCCGAGGAAAAGAAAUCAACCGAGAUUCCCCCAGUAGCGGCGAGCGAACGGGGAGCAGCCCAGAGCCUGAAUCAGUGUGUGUGUUAGUGGAAGCGUCUGGAAAGGCGCGCGAUACAGGGUGACAGCCCCGUACACAAAAAUGCACAUGCUGUGAGCUCGAUGAGUAGGGCGGGACACGUGGUAUCCUGUCUGAAUAUGGGGGACCAUCCUCCAAGGCUAAAUACUCCUGACUGACCGAUAGUGAACCAGUACCGUGAGGGAAAGGCGAAAAGAACCCCGGCGAGGGGAGUGAAAAAGAACCUGAAACCGUGUACGUACAAGCAGUGGGAGCCUCUUUAUGGGGUGACUGCGUACCUUUUGUAUAAUGGGUCAGCGACUUAUAUUCUGUAGCAAGGUUAACCGAAUAGGGGAGCCGAAGGGAAACCGAGUCUUAACUGGGCGUUAAGUUGCAGGGUAUAGACCCGAAACCCGGUGAUCUAGCCAUGGGCAGGUUGAAGGUUGGGUAACACUAACUGGAGGACCGAACCGACUAAUGUUGAAAAAUUAGCGGAUGACUUGUGGCUGGGGGUGAAAGGCCAAUCAAACCGGGAGAUAGCUGGUUCUCCCCGAAAGCUAUUUAGGUAGCGCCUCGUGAACUCAUCUCCGGGGUAGAGCACUGUUUCGGCAAGGGGGUCAUCCCGACUUACCAACCCGAUGCAAACUGCGAAUACCGGAGAAUGUUAUCACGGGAGACACACGGCGGGUGCUAACGUCCGUCGUGAAGAGGGAAACAACCCAGACCGCCAGCUAAGGUCCCAAAGUCAUGGUUAAGUGGGAAACGAUGUGGGAAGGCCCAGACAGCCAGGAUGUUGGCUUAGAAGCAGCCAUCAUUUAAAGAAAGCGUAAUAGCUCACUGGUCGAGUCGGCCUGCGCGGAAGAUGUAACGGGGCUAAACCAUGCACCGAAGCUGCGGCAGCGACGCUUAUGCGUUGUUGGGUAGGGGAGCGUUCUGUAAGCCUGCGAAGGUGUACUGUGAGGUAUGCUGGAGGUAUCAGAAGUGCGAAUGCUGACAUAAGUAACGAUAAAGCGGGUGAAAAGCCCGCUCGCCGGAAGACCAAGGGUUCCUGUCCAACGUUAAUCGGGGCAGGGUGAGUCGACCCCUAAGGCGAGGCCGAAAGGCGUAGUCGAUGGGAAACAGGUUAAUAUUCCUGUACUUGGUGUUACUGCGAAGGGGGACGGAGAAGGCUAUGUUGGCCGGGCGACGGUUGUCCCGGUUUAAGCGUGUAGGCUGGUUUUCCAGGCAAAUCCGGAAAAUCAAGGCUGAGGCGUGAUGACGAGGCACUACGGUGCUGAAGCAACAAAUGCCCUGCUUCCAGGAAAAGCCUCUAAGCAUCAGGUAACAUCAAAUCGUACCCCAAACCGACACAGGUGGUCAGGUAGAGAAUACCAAGGCGCUUGAGAGAACUCGGGUGAAGGAACUAGGCAAAAUGGUGCCGUAACUUCGGGAGAAGGCACGCUGAUAUGUAGGUGAAGCGACUUGCUCGUGGAGCUGAAAUCAGUCGAAGAUACCAGCUGGCUGCAACUGUUUAUUAAAAACACAGCACUGUGCAAACACGAAAGUGGACGUAUACGGUGUGACGCCUGCCCGGUGCCGGAAGGUUAAUUGAUGGGGUUAGCGGUAACGCGAAGCUCUUGAUCGAAGCCCCGGUAAACGGCGGCCGUAACUAUAACGGUCCUAAGGUAGCGAAAUUCCUUGUCGGGUAAGUUCCGACCUGCACGAAUGGCGUAAUGAUGGCCAGGCUGUCUCCACCCGAGACUCAGUGAAAUUGAACUCGCUGUGAAGAUGCAGUGUACCCGCGGCAAGACGGAAAGACCCCGUGAACCUUUACUAUAGCUUGACACUGAACAUUGAGCCUUGAUGUGUAGGAUAGGUGGGAGGCUUUGAAGUGUGGACGCCAGUCUGCAUGGAGCCGACCUUGAAAUACCACCCUUUAAUGUUUGAUGUUCUAACGUUGGCCCCUGAUCGGGGUUGCGGACAGUGUCUGGUGGGUAGUUUGACUGGGGCGGUCUCCUCCUAAAGAGUAACGGAGGAGCACGAAGGUUGGCUAAUCCUGGUCGGACAUCAGGAGGUUAGUGCAAUGGCAUAAGCCAGCUUGACUGCGAGCGUGACGGCGCGAGCAGGUGCGAAAGCAGGUCAUAGUGAUCCGGUGGUUCUGAAUGGAAGGGCCAUCGCUCAACGGAUAAAAGGUACUCCGGGGAUAACAGGCUGAUACCGCCCAAGAGUUCAUAUCGACGGCGGUGUUUGGCACCUCGAUGUCGGCUCAUCACAUCCUGGGGCUGAAGUAGGUCCCAAGGGUAUGGCUGUUCGCCAUUUAAAGUGGUACGCGAGCUGGGUUUAGAACGUCGUGAGACAGUUCGGUCCCUAUCUGCCGUGGGCGCUGGAGAACUGAGGGGGCUGCUCCUAGUACGAGAGGACCGGAGUGGACGCAUCACUGGUGUUCGGGUUGUCAUGCCAAUGGCACUGCCCGGUAGCUAAAUGCGGAAGAGAUAAGUGCUGAAAGCAUCUAAGCACGAAACUUGCCCCGAGAUGAGUUCUCCCUGACCCUUUAAGGGUCCUGAAGGAACGUUGAAGACGACGACGUUGAUAGGCCGGGUGUGUAAGCGCAGCGAUGCGUUGAGCUAACCGGUACUAAUGAACCGUGAGGCUUAACCUU